rnacentral:rRNA from 1 species
AGUGGCGGACGGGUGAGUAAUGUCUGGGAAACUGCCUGAUGGAGGGGGAUAACUACUGGAAACGGUAGCUAAUACCGCAUAACGUCGAAAGACCAAAGAGGGGGACCUUCGGGCCUCUUGCCAUCGGAUGUGCCCAGAUGGGAUUAGCUUGUUGGUGGGGUAAUGGCUCACCAAGGCGACGAUCCCUAGCUGGUCUGAGAGGAUGACCAGCCACACUGGAACUGAGACACGGUCCAGACUCCUACGGGAGGCAGCAUG